rnacentral:rRNA from 1 species
CAGUAGCCACGGGAACACGUAGGGCGCAAGCGUUGUCCGGAAUUAUUGGGCGUAAAGAGCUCGUAGGCGGUCUGUCGCGUCUGGUGUGAAAUCCCGAGGCUCAACCUCGGGCUUGCAUCGGGUACGGGCAGACUAGAGUGCGGUAGGGGAGACUGGAAUUCCUGGUGUAGCGGUGGAAUGCGCAGAUAUCAGGAGGAACACCGAUGGCGAAGGCAGGUCUCUGGGCCGCAACUGACGCUGAGGAGCGAAAGCAUGGGGAGCGAACAGGAUUAGAUACCCGUGUAGUCCCUGUCUCUUAUAC